rnacentral:rRNA from 1 species
GAUGAACGCUGGCGGCGUGCCUAAUACAUGCAAGUCGAGCGAACAGACGAUGAGCUUGCUCCUCUGACGUUAGCGGCGGACGGGUGAGUAACACGUGGAUAACCUACCUAUAAGACUGGGAUAACUUCGGGAAACCGGAGCUAAUACCGGAUAAUAUAUUGAACCGCAUGGUUCAAUAGUGAAAGACGGUUUUGCUGUCACUUAUAGAUGGAUCCGCGCCGCAUUAGCUAGUUGGUAAGGUAACGGCUUACCAAGGCAACGAUGCGUAGCCGACCUGAGAGGGUGAUCGGCCACACUGGAGCUGAGACACGGUCCAGACUCCUACGGGAGGCAGCAGUAGGGAAUCUUCCGCAAUGGGCGAAAGCCUGACGGAGCAACGCCGCGUGAGUGAUGAAGGUCUUCGGAUCGUAAAACUCUGUUAUUAGGGAAGAACAAAUGUGUAAGUAACUAUGCACGUCUUGACGGUACCUAAUCAGAAAGCAACGGCUAACUACGUG